ensembl:lncRNA
AUUCAUUGGAUCUCCAUAUCCUCUUCCUGGGAGGGAGGUAAGACCAGAAAUUUUCAUAUUCAUACUUAUGGGCAAAGCUAAGAUUUUUAAACAAGGCCAUCUGAUUCUAAGUUCAGGGUUCUAGGCCUUAUAGGAUCACAGUCAUGGAAUUAUAGGUCUAGAAAUUAAAGAGGUUUAAGAAGCUACCUACUCCAAUUCCUUCAUUUUAUAGAUAAGGAAACUGAGGCUUAAGGAAGUUAAGUGACUUGCCCAACGUCAGAGAGGUAGUUAGCAACAGGAACAAAUAAACAAAAAAAAUAGAUAGGUAGGUAGGUAGGUAGGUAGGUAUAGAUAGAUAGAUAGAUAGAUAGAUAGAUAGAUAGAUAGAUAGAUAGAUAGAUGGGAAAAUAAAUAAAUGAAUGAAUGAAUGAAUAAAGAUGGCCUCUGAAGUAAUUUCUUGACCAUUUAAAGGUGUUUGACCUCUGAUCUUCCUGGAAUUAUGUGUCAUCAGUUGAACCUGAACCUGAACAAUCUCUCCCUAUCAUUCUGACUGUAUUGAAAUCAUGGAAACAGACUCAAGGUCCCAGAAGGAGCCCUCAGAAUCAUUUCAUCUGCUCCCCACAUCCAUUUUACAGAUUGGGAAAUUGAGACAUAGAGAGAAGAAAUGACUUGCCAAGUGCCACCCAGCAACGACAAAACAAAGAGACACGUUGGACAAAUUAGUGGUCACCUUGGAAGGAGUCUGUGUGGUGCACCAAGAACAGAAAUGCCUUCCUGGGGAGGCUUCGGACAGUCAACCAUCAUGGAAAAAUGCACCAUUUUGAGAGGCUCAGCAUCAUGGAGAGAGAUGCUUUGAAGGAACCGUCUUAACCAUGAUCCUCCUGUCCAUAAAACUGGUCUGUUCUGUUCUGUUCUGAGAUGAUCGGUGAAGGGAGAUUUCUUGGGAGAACAGAGGAAAAUAUUCCAAGAAGUUUGUUACUAACAUUUGGGAGAGAACUUAUUGCAAAAUAUUAAGAUGAAAUAUUAAUUAUAUAAUAUGAAGAUAUUAAUGUCAAAUAAUAUUAUCUAGCACCCGAAUAUUAAAGAUGAGGUGCUUGUUCUACUAUAUAAUAUACAUAGAAUAUAGUAGAUAAUGCAAUGAUAAUAAUGAAUAUCUAUCUAGUACCUUUUACAUGCCAGGUACUGCACUAAAACUUUACAAAUAUUAUCUAUUUGAUUUUUCACAUCCUCAGGGCUGUUAGGAUCCCAUUUUACACUUAAGGAAGCGGAGUUUAAAUAACUCGUCCAAGGUCACACAUUUAUUUAAUAAGUAUCAAGCUACCAUCUGAACUCAAGUCUUCCCCACUGCAGACUGCUCGCUGGCACUGCCCAGUGCCCUGCCGUCCCCGAGGUUUGCCCUUUUGGCUGGUAACGCCUAGAUGUGGGCUCUGGUUCUCUCGCCUUCGUCCCCUGUCCCAUGAUGCCCUGGAACACAGAGGAGAGAACACGAAAUCGGAGAGUUGAAAGGAAUGGGAGAGGGCAUGUAGUGGCCCCAGCCUGAGGUGGGAACGUCCUCAGCAUCCUUCCUCAAGGCCAGGUAAGGAUUGCUGGAAGAUGUCCCUUGAGAGGGAGCUUGCCGCCAUUUUGUACAAGUCGUCGUAGUUCCUCCCACCCCUCCAGAAAGGUGGUUCUUUCCAAGUCAGGUGAGGCCUCUCCCUGACCCUAACCCACCUACCUUCUCACCUCCUUUCCUUCACUUCCAGAAGCCCCAACCCGAUGUGGCUGACGCUGGGGCCAAGGGUGGAGUCUCCGGCUCACGGGAGGCUCCAACCGCAAACUCACCCAUGUUUACUUUCUCUGGAAGAUGGUGAAAGGCC